GAUGAACGCUGGCGGCAUGCUCAACACAUGCAAGUCGGACGGGACGUGGUGUUUCUAGUGGUGGACGGGUGAGUAACGCGUCAGAAUCUGCACUUGGGUGGGGAACAACUGCUGGAAACGACUGCUAAUACCCCGUAGGCUGAGGAGCAAAAGGAGGAAUCCGCCCGAGGAGGGGCUCGCGGCUGAUUAGCUAGUUGGUGAGGCAAUAGCUUACCAAGGCGGUGAUCAGUAGCUGGUCCGGGAGGAUGAUACGCCACACUGGCACUGAGACACGGGCCAGACUCCUACGGGAGGCAGCAGUGGUGAAUGUUCCGCAAUGGGCGAAAGCCUGACGGAGCGAUGCCGCGUGGAGGUAGAAGGCCUACGGGUCGUGAACUUCUUUUCCCGGAGAAGAAGCAAUGACGGUAUCUGGUGAAUAAGCAUCGGCUAACUCGGUG
rnacentral:rRNA from 1 species